rnacentral:lncRNA from 1 species
GACGCCGAUCGAGCUGCGGCGGCCUUAACCGCAAAACGACUUGCGGUUCCAACACCACUUGCGGUUAACAAACCAGAUCCCAGAUCUACAACUAUACAACUAGCAGUGGUGGUGGAGAAAUACUUACCUUUGCCAGAUCUGUUAGCUAGCUCGAGCUACCUCCUACGCUGACAGCGCUGACAGUCCACGCGAUAGCACCAAGUUACGGAGGAUGCACUGGGAAGGAGGGGAUGCACUGGUUGCACUGGGAAGGAGGAGGGGAUUCUGGUUGGAGGGGAGGAAGGUGAGGAAGACUGGUCAAAGAUGAAAAUAGGGGUGUAGGGUUUUUUUGAAUUGCGGAGUUACUUUUUAUAAACCCAACACUAUAGCCUUAUAGGAGCACAGUUGGAAUUAAAACUGAGCAGGAGGUGCAGGACGAGAUCCAGGAGGUGCAGGGAGAAUUACUCUGAAAUCUUCUCUUUUAAUAUUUUUUUAAUUGUGGAGGUGCAUAAAUAAAAUAGGAAGGUGCAAGAAAGAAAAGUUGUAGUUAGUUCUCCACUGGACAUGCACCGCUUUGAUAAGCCCAUAACGUCUCCUGUAGCAUCCCAUGGUCACCAUCUUAAUGUACUCCUACAUUUAAACUUGAGGUUUCGCCUGUAUCUUUAAUAAUUUUAUUCUACAUCUCCAAAAAUUUUCAAAAUACCCAUUUAAAACAUUUUUAAUUUUUAAAAAAAUUGAAAAGAAUCUUGACCAAAUUUUGCUUCCCACGUUCAUUUCUUGCUCUGUUUUAGAUCUCAAUUUCAUCUUGUUCCUUUGCUCUCAUUCUUCUCUUUGCUUAAAUGUUGCUCUUUGCUUU